CCUCGAUGAGUAGGAGGG
rnacentral:snRNA from 1 species